rnacentral:rRNA from 1 species
CGGCAAAAGCUCAAAUUUGAAAUCUGGCACCUUCGGUGUCCGAGUUGUAAUUUGAAGAAGGUAACUUUGGAGUUGGCUCUUGUCUAUGUUCCUUGGAACAGGACGUCACAGAGGGUGAGAAUCCCGUGCGAUGAGAUGCCCAAUUCUAUGUAAAGUGCUUUCGAA